rnacentral:lncRNA from 1 species
GUCCUGAUUCAGGGCUGGGAGAAACGCAGCGCACCCAGGAGCAUGUCCCGGGGCCAAGGCUCCAAUCCUUGCAGAGACAAAGAAUCUGGAUUAAAUACAAAUGACCCAGUUCAAUCAAUCCCUGGCAUUCACUGAGAAUUCAGGAAACAAAUCUAAAACAGAACAACAAAGAACUGAUAUAAUUGCCACGAUGAAGCUGGGGCUGCAGGGAUUACCUCUGUGGAAUUAAGGGAAGCUGAUAAGAUUCUCCUCCUCCAUAAGGAUUAUUACAAGAGCGAUUGGGACUCGGGGAAAGAAAGCGGUUUGAACAGUAAGACUGCAAAGUCCUGAAAGAGGUUACUUGAAGCAAUUGGGAAAUCCUGAAAGCACCUAUCUGGAAGCUUUGGCUGAGACCAGGCCCAGAAGGACAGACAGACAGCACGUUCCUCUCCGGCUCUGUCCUUCUGCAGGGAAACUGAAGAUGGGUGUGUUUUGACCCAGAAUCCGCAGGGUUAGAGUUGAAUUUUACAAAUCACUUCAGGAUGCAGCGUUGAGACGGAAGACUUAGGAUUGGAGAAUUAAUUUUCUCUUCCUCCUGAGUAAAGCAGCUCUUCCUAAAGCUGAGAAUCUUAGCAGAAUGAAUAAACCAAAUGGCAGCAGUCCGGUGCUGGCAGGUCACUGCACAUGCGGACACCACCCCAAGGGAGCAAUCAGGAGAGCAGGCGCGCAAGGCCCCGGAAGCAUAUGCCAGCGUAGAAGACCCCAAGUCAAAGGUCAAACAGGGCACUUGAUCACUCAAGUCCCCCGCUAGACCCCCUUCUGCGUGUACUUUACUUUCGUUCCUGCUCUAAAAUGUUGUAAUAAACUUUCACUCCUGCUCUCAAACU